AAUCAACGCUGGCGGCGUGCCUCAGACAUGCAAGUCGAACGAUUAAAGCUCUCUUCGGAGAGUGUAUAGAGUGGCGCACGGGUGAGUAACACGUAAGUAAUCUACCUUCGAGUGGGGAAUAACCCGGGGAAACCCGAGCUAAUACCGCAUAAUGCAGCGGCACCUAAUGGUGACAGUUGUUAAAGGAGUAAUUCGCUUGAAGAGGAGCUUGCGGCAGAUUAGCUAGUUGGUAAGGUAAUGGCUUACCAAGGCUACGAUCUGUAACCGGUCUAAGAGGACGGUCGGUCACACUGACACUGAAUAACGGGUCAGACUCCUACGGGAGGCAGCAGUCGGGAAUUUUGGGCAAUGGGCGAAAGCCUGACCCAGCAACGCCGCGUGAAGGAUGAAGUAUUUCGGUAUGUAAACUUCGUAAGAAUAGGAAGAAUAAAUGACGGUACUAUUUGUAAGGUCCGGCUAACUACGUGCCAG
rnacentral:rRNA from 1 species